rnacentral:rRNA from 1 species
GGAAUAUUGGACAAUGGACCAAAAGUCUGAUCCAGCACUUCUGUGUGCACGAUGAAGUUUUUCGGAAUGUAAAGUGCUUUCAGUUGGGAAGAAGAAAGUGACGGUACCAACAGAAGAAGCGACGGCUAAAUACGUGCCAGCAGCCGCGGUAAUACGUAUGUCGCAAGCAUUAUCCGGAUUUAUUGGGCGUAAAGCGCGUCUAGGCGGUUUGGUAAGUCUGAUGUGAAAAUGCGGGGCUCAACUCCGUAUUGCGUUGGAAACUGCCAAACUAGAGUACUGGAGAGGUAGGCGGAACUACAAGUGUAGAGGUGAAAUUCGUAGAUAUUUGUAGGAAUGCCGAUAGAGAAGUCAGCUCACUGGACAGAUACUGACGCUGAAGCGCGAAAGCAUGGGGAGCAAACAGGAUUAGAUACCCCGG